rnacentral:rRNA from 1 species
UGGGCAACCUGCCCUCAGCUCUGGGAUAACUCCAAGAAAUUGGGGCUAAUACCGGAUAUGACCGCUGACCGCAUGGUCUGGUGGUGGAAAGAUUUUAUCGGCUGGGGAUGGGUCCGCGGCCUAUCAGCUUGUUGGUGGGGUAGUGGCCUACCAAGGCGACGACGGGUAGCCGGCUGAGAGGGUGACCGGCCACACGUGGGACUGAGACACGGCCCAGACUCCGUACGGGA